AGAGUUUGAUCAUGGCUCAGAUUGAACGCUGGCGGCGUGCCUAACACAUGCAAGUCGAGCGGUAACAGGUGUAGCAAUACAUGCUGACGAGCGGCGAACGGGUGAGUAAUGCUUUGGAAUCUUCCCAGUAGUGGGGAAUAACCAGUCGAAAGAUUGGCUAAUACCGCAUACGUCGGAAACGGGAAAGCGGGGGAUCGUAA
rnacentral:rRNA from 1 species